CGUGCUACACAUGCAGUCGAGCGGAAGGCCCUUCGGGGUACUCGAGCGGCGAACGGGUGAGUAACACGUGAGUAACCUGCCCCUGACUCUGGGAUAAGCCCGGGAAACUGGGUCUAAUACCGGAUACGACCACUUCAGGCAUCUGAUGGUGGUGGAAAGAUUUCUUGGUUGGGGAUGGACUCGCGGCCUAUCAGCUUGUUGGUGGGGUAGUGGCCUACCAAGGCGACGACGGGUAGCCGGCCUGAGAGGGCGACCGGCCACACUGGGACUGAGACACGGCCCAGACUCCUACGGGAGGCAGCAGUGGGGAAUAUUGCGCAAUGGGCGGAAGCCUGACGCAGCGACGCCGCGUGGGGGAUGACGGCCUUCGGGUUGUAAACCUCUUUCAGCAGGGACGAAGUUGACGUGUACCUGCAGAAGAAGCGCCGGCUAACUACGUGCCAGCAGCCGCGGUAAUACGUAGGGCGCAAGCGUUGUCCGGAAUUAUUGGGCGUAAAGAGCUCG
rnacentral:rRNA from 1 species